rnacentral:rRNA from 1 species
GGGGAAUUUUGGACAAUGGGCGCAAGCCUGAUCCAGCCAUGCCGCGUGUCUGAAGAAGGCCUUCGGGUUGUAAAGGACUUUUGUCAGGGAAGAAAAGGCUGUUGCUAAUAUCGACAGUUGAUGACGGUACCUGAAGAAUAAGCACCGGCUAACUCCGUGCCAGCAGCCGCGGUAAUACGGAGGGUGCGAGCGUUAAUCGGAAUAACUGGGCGUAAAGGGCACGCAGGCGGUGACUUAAGUGAGAUGUGAAAGCCCCGAGCUUAACUUGGGAAUUGCAUUUCAUACUGGGUCGCUAGAGUACUUUAGGGAGGGGUAGAAUUCCACGUGUAGCGGUGAAAUGCGUAGAGGUGUGGAGGAAUACCGAAGGCGAAGGCAGCCCCUUGGGAAUGUACUGACGCUCAUGUGCGAAAGCGUGGGGAGCAAACAGGAUUAGAUACCCUGGUAGUCCACGCUGUAAACGAUGUCGAUUUGGGGAUUGGGCUUUAAGCUUGGUGCCCGUAGCUAACGUGAUAAAUCGACCGCCUGGGGAGUACGGCCGCAAGGUUA